GCAUAUCAAUAAGCGGAGGAAAAAGAAACCAACAGGGAUUGCCCCAGUAACGGCGAGUGAAGCGGCAACAGCUCAAAUUUGAAAUCUGGCCCCUAGGGCCCGAGUUGUAAUUUGCAGAGGAUGCUUUUGGCGAGGUGCCUUCCGAGUUCCCUGGAACGGGACGCCAUAGAGGGUGAGAGCCCCGUCUGGUUGGAUACCGAGCCUCUGUAAAGCUCCUUCGACGAGUCGAGUAGUUUGGGAAUGCUGCUCUAAAUGGGAGGUAUAUGUCUUCUAAAGCUAAAUAUUGGCCAGAGACCGAUAGCGCACAAGUAGAGUGAUCGAAAGAUGAAAAGCACUUUGAAAAGAGGGUUAAAAAGUACGUGAAAUUGUUGAAAGGGAAGCGCUCAUGACCAGACUUGGGCCCGGUGAAUCACCCAGCGUUCUCGCUGGGGCACUUUGCCGGGCUCAGGCCAGCAUCAGUUCGCGCCGGGGGACAAAGACUUCGGGAAUGUGGCUCCUCCGGGAGUGUUAUAGCCCGUUGUGCAAUACCCUGGGGCGGACUGAGGUUCGCGCAUCUGCAAGGAUGCUGGCGUAAUGGUCAUCAGCGACCCGUCUUGAAACACGGACCAAGGAGUCGUCUUCGUAUGCGAGUGUUCGGGUGCAAAGCCCCUACGCGUAAUGAAAGUGAACGCAGGUGAGAGCUUCGGCGCAUCAUCGACCGAUCCUGAUGUUCUCGGAUGGAUUUGAGUAAGAGCAUACGGGGCCGGACCCGAAAGAAGGUGAACUAUGCUUGAAUAGGGUGAAGCCAGGGGAAACCCUGGUGGAGGCUCGCAGCGGUUCUGACGUGCAAAUCGAUCGUCAAAUUUGAGCAUGGGGGGCGAAAGACUAAUCGAACCUUCUAGUAGCUGGUUUCCGCCGAAG
rnacentral:rRNA from 1 species